UGCAGUCGAGCGGUAACAGAGAGUAGCUUGCUACUCUGCUGACGAGCGGCGGACGGGUGAGUAAUGCUUGGGAAUAUGCCUUAUGGUGGGGGACAACAGUUGGAAACGACUGCUAAUACCGCAUGAUGUCUACGGACCAAAGUGGGGGACCUUCGGGCCUCACGCCAUAAGAUUAGCCCAAGUGGGAUUAGCUAGUUGGUGAGGUAAUGGCUCACCAAGGCGACGAUCCCUAGCUGGUUUGAGAGGAUGAUCAGCCACACUGGGACUGAGACACGGCCCAGACUCCUACGGGAGGCAGCAGUGGGGAAUAUUGCACAAUGGGCGCAAGCCUGAUGCAGCCAUGCCGCGUGUGUGAAGAAGGCCUUCGGGUUGUAAAGCACUUUCAGUAAGGAGGAAAGGUUAAGUGUUAAUAGCACUUAGCUGUGACGUUACUUACAGAAGAAGCACCGGCUAACUCCGUGCCAGCAGCCGCGGUAAUACGGAGGGUGCGAGCGUUAAUCGGAAUUACUGGGCGUAAAGCGUACGCAGGCGGUUUGUUAAGCGAGAUGUGAAAGCCCCGGGCUCAACCUGGGAACUGCAUUUCGAACUGGCAAACCAGAGUGUGAUAGAGGGUGGUAGAAUUUCAGGUGUAGCGGUGAAAUGCGUAGAGAUCUGAAGGAAUACCGAUGGCGAAGGCAGCCACCUGGGUCAACACUGACGCUCAUGUACGAAAGCGUGGGGAGCAAACAGGANUAGAUACCCUGGUAGUCCACGCCGUAAACGAUGUCUACUAGAAGCUCGGGUCUUCGGANUNGUUUUUCAAAGCUAACGCAUUAAGUANACCGCCUGGGGNNUACNNCCGCAAGGUUAAAACUCAAAUGAAUUGACGGGGGCCCGCACAAGCGGNGGANCAUGUGGNUUNANNCGAUGCNNCGCGAANAA
rnacentral:rRNA from 1 species